AGUGAACGCUGGCGGUAGGCCUAACACAUGCAAGUCGAACGGCAGCACAGUAAGAGCUUGCUCUUACGGGUGGCGAGUGGCGGACGGGUGAGGAAUACAUCGGAAUCUACUUUUUCGUGGGGGAUAACGUAGGGAAACUUACGCUAAUACCGCAUACGACCUACGGGUGAAAGCAGGGGAUCUUCGGACCUUGCGCGAUUGAAUGAGCCGAUGUCGGAUUAGCUAGUUGGCGGGGUAAAGGCCCACCAAGGCGACGAUCCGUAGCUGGUCUGAGAGGAUGAUCAGCCACACUGGAACGGAGACACGGUCCAGACUCCUACGGGAGGCAGCAGUGGGGAAUAGUGGACAAUGGGCGCAAGCCUGAUCCAGCCAUACCGCGUGGGUGAAGAAGGCCUUCGGGUUGUAAAGCCCUUUUGUUGGGAAAGAAAAUCAGCAGGUUAAUACCCCGCUGUUCUGACGGUACCCAAAGAAUAAGCACCGGCUAACUUCGUG
rnacentral:rRNA from 1 species